rnacentral:lncRNA from 1 species
AUGAUAAUUCUCUUCAAGAAUUCAGUCACAUGUAUUUCUUCUUGGGCAAGGAAAUAUGAAUUUAAUCUAAGCACAGAGAUGACUCUUGCCCUUAGUGCAGGAAAAUGUAUAUACAUAAAUUCAUGUUUUAUGUGGGCAGUAUUCAAAUGGUUUGCUAACUUUUUUCCUAAUAUAACUUUCUUACAUUUAUUAACAGGUAUAACAAGGUUUAUAAAAAGGGUUAUAUGCAGAUGUUUACAAAUAUUAUUUCAUAUUUGGCAUUUUAUGCAUGGAAGUACUUUAGAUGCCUUCUUAGGUGUGUACUUCAGCUUUUCCAUUACAAUACUUUUAAUCAACAAUAUACAGUGUCUUGGGUAAAUGAAAACUAUUUAAGAGUAGAAUUAUAUGGGGAAAUUGUAAACAACUGGUAAGUGGUAGUGUGAGAGAGUAAGGAAAUAUUGGAUAUGAGAGUAUAGAUGGGUAAACUUGUCUAAUCCACCUUUGCAGAACAUACAAACCCAAGUUAGCAGAAUAGAAAGCCUCUCAGUUCUUUGGAAUUUCUUGUUUGAUAUGUUCAGUUCAUACCACUGUACCUGAGAAUAACAUUAAUGAUGUUAUAAUUAUCUUCACACUACUUAAAGGUACUGUAUACAGUUGUUGGCAU